UACGUGGGGGGCAAGCGUUGUCCGGAUUUAUUGGGCGUAAAGAGCGUGUAGGCGGCUAGGUAGGUCCGUUGUGAAAACUCGAGGCUCAACCUCGAGACGUCGAUGGAAACCAUCUGGCUAGAGUCCGGAAGAGGAGAGUGGAAUUCCUGGUGUAGCGGUGAAAUGCGCAGAUAUCAGGAAGAACACCCGUGGCGAAGGCGGCUCUCUGGUACGUGACUGACGCUGAGACGCGAAAGCGUGGGGAGCGAACAGG
rnacentral:rRNA from 1 species